rnacentral:rRNA from 1 species
GAGACCCACGCCAACAGUUGCCAGCAUGUCCUCCGGGAUGGUGGGGACACUGUUGGGACCGCCUCUGCUAAAGAGGAGGAAGGAAUGGGCAACGGUAGGUCAGCAUGCCCCGAAUUAUCCGGGCUACGCGCGGGCUACAAUGGUCAGGACAAUGGGUAUCGACACCGAGAGGUGAAGGCAAUCUCUUAAACCUGUCCUUAGUUCGGAUUGUGGGCUGCAACUCGCCCACAUGAAGCUGGAAUCCGUAGUAAUCGCGUCUCAAAAUGGCGCGGUGAAUAU